AAAGUACACGCUUUAGCCAAGAUAUCAAUAUGAAAGUUAUAUUUUCAAGUUUGAUUACAGUUACACUUCUUUUCUUCUCCCAGUGUGAAGCCCAACAUGGAAUACGAGUUAAAAAUUGAAAACUUCCCUUACUUUUUGGAAAUUGGAAGGAAGAUACAAAAA
rnacentral:lncRNA from 1 species